rnacentral:rRNA from 1 species
AAUGGCCGAAACGCUGACGUAGCAAUGCCGCGUGGUCGAAGAAGCCCUUCGGGUUGUAAAGAGCUUUUAUCAGGGAAGAACAAAUGACGGUACCUGAAGAAUAAGGGGCUGCUAACCUCGUGCCAGCAGCAGCGGUAAUACGAGGGGCCCGAGCGUUAUCCGGAUUAAUUGGGCGUAAAGCGUCCGCAGGUUGUUAGAUAAGUCAGUCGUCAAAUGCUAGGGCUCAACCUUAGCACUGCGCCUGAAACUGUCUGACUAGAGGAAGGGAGAGGUGAGCGGAAUUGCCGGUGUAGUAGUAAAAUGCGUUAAUAUCGGCAAGAACACCAAUUGCGAAGGCAGCUCACUAGAACUAUCCUGACACUCAUGGACGAAAGCGUAGGUAGCGAAUGGGAUUAGAUACCCCAGUAGUCUACGCCGUAAACGAUGUGCACUAAGUAUUGCGGGUUUCGACCCCCGCAGUGCUGUCAACCUAAGCUAACGCCUUAAGUGCACCGCCUGGGGAGUACGAGCGCAAGCUUAAAACUCAAAGGAAUUGACGGGAGCCCGCACAAGCGGUGGAGCACGUGGUUUAAUUCGAUACUAAGCGGGAAACCUUACCGAGGCUUGACAUGUAGCUGCAAGCUCUAGGAAACUAGAGCCGCCUUCGAGGGUGCUACACAGGUGCUGCAUGGUCGUCGUCAGCUCGUGUCGUGAGAUGUAGGGUUAAGUCCUUUAACGAGCGCAACCCUCAUACUGUGUUAAAUUUAUCCACAGUAAACUGCCCGCUAUAAGCGGGAGGAAGGUGAGGAUGACGUCAGAUCAGCAUGGCUUUUACGCCUCGGGCUACACACAUGCUACAAUGGCUAGGACAAAGGGUCGCAAAAUCGCGAGAUGAAGCUAAUCCCACCAAACCUAGUCUCAGUUCGGAUUGCAGGCUGCAACUCGCCUGCAUGAAGUUGGAAUCGCUAGUAACCGUGGAUCAUCACGCCACGGUGAAUACGUUCUCGGGCUUUGUACACACCGCCCGUCACAUCAAGGGAGCCGGGGGUACCCGAAGGUCCAUCUUGUAUGGAACGAAGGUAAAUCUGGUGACAGGGAUGAAGUCGUAACAAGGCAUCCGUAGCGGAAGCUGUGGAUG